rnacentral:rRNA from 1 species
AGAGCGAACGCUGGCGGCAGGCUUAACACAUGCAAGUCGAGCGGGCGUAGCAAUACGUCAGCGGCAGACGGGUGAGUAACGCGUGGGAACAUACCUCUUGGUUCGGAACAACACAGGGAAACUUGUGCUAAUACCGGAUAAGCCCUUACGGGGAAAGAUUUAUCGCCGAGAGAUUGGCCCGCGUCUGAUUAGCUAGUUGGUAGGGUAAUGGCCUACCAAGGCGACGAUCAGUAGCUGGUCUGAGAGGAUGAUCAGCCACAUUGGGACUGAGACACGGCCCAAACUCCUACGGGAGGCAGCAGUGGGGAAUAUUGGACAAUGGGGGCAACCCUGAUCCAGCCAUGCCGCGUGAGUGAUGAAGGCCCUAGGGUUGUAAAGCUCUUUUGUGCGGGAAGAUAAUGACGGUACCGCAAGAAUAAGCCCGGCUAACUUCGCGCCAGCAGCCGC